GGCCCCUUAGCUCCGCGGAAUAGAGCACGAUGGCCCGAUCGUCGGAGUCGCGCGUUCGAGCCAGCAGGGGCAACCA
rnacentral:tRNA from 1 species